rnacentral:lncRNA from 1 species
AUAUAUAUGUCCUGCCACAUACCCAACUCACUUAAAUUGAUGUAUGUUUCCUCCAGUGAUGGCCAUGCCAGGGUCUGACCUGAGAAGUCUCCUUCAUUUGGCCCGGCCUCGCUCAUGGCCAUGAUAAUCCAGUCCAUAACACUAUGAUUGCCCUGAACAGUUGUAGCUUUGUGCAAACACUGUCUCAAAGCAGGAUGGGUGGUUAUUUGUUCAUUGUUUUAGCUUCACUGUCAGCUAGGGAGAUGCCAUUUCUAUCAGAGUCCUAGUCACACAAACCAUGUGGCUAACCUUUCUCUCAGCAACUAUUUAAGUAUUUUUGCUAUGUCUAAUAGUUCUACUAAGGUGUACUCUCAGACAGUACAGGUUUAUUGCAAAGACUGUCCAUUAUUGCCCAGCUCCAUGUGUUGGGCUUUUGCUUUCUGCUGCAUGAGUGGAUUGCUCUAAAAUGGGGACGGUAAUCCUACACCUCUUCUGUGAUAAACUCUGUCUUCAUCUGGCUCACUAGUUGCUUUCUGAUGAUUCCAGACCUUAGCGUCCCAGUCAGGUUUAGCAAGGCAGUCCUCCACUUUCAGCUGGUGCAACUUCCACCCUCCCAGCUGCACAAGUGGCAGCUAGAGCUUCCAGCUGUGCCUCCUGUGUUUUGAACUCAUCCCCCAAGGUAGUCACUAACACAGACAUGGAUGUCCUCAAACUCAUGCUUAACAGUAAUUUUUCUUGUAGCCAGAUGACCCUGGUAAUGGAAUGUGGUGAUGGCAGCUGGGCUGUUGAGCAGGAUGAUGAGUGGCAGAAUUAGCAGGGCUCUGGCUCCCAUGUUGGUCCAUCCUGCUGGCAUGGAGCUUUUUCCAGGCUGUGGGCUGGAUGUGGUAGGUGGGGCUUCCUUUCUUCCCCAGACUAGCCCAGCAAUUCUCCAGGAAGCCAGGCCUCUGCGGCUAAUUCUGUCUUGCACCUCAACACGGCAGGAAACAGACCCAAAGCAGGCAGUAACUUGCCUAGAUCCCCAGAGGAGAGACGAACUCCUCCUCCCACCUGGAGGCCCUGUCCCAGCUACCUUCACCCCAUACCCCAGCACCACUACUGACCAGGGUUCCAUCUUCUGGACUCUAUGGGCAUCUCCAUUCUGGGCUCAGCCACGGUGGAAGUAAGAUGUGGUGUCUUGGGAGACCUGGUUGAGCAGGUCUCUGUUUCCUCAUCUGAAAAAUGUACAAAUAAUGAACCUGUUGUGCAGGCCUUACAGAGUCCUGAUGAGGUUCAAGGGAGAAAGGGAAUUUGAGGGUCCUUGCAUCUGGCUCUUCUUGAUAAAUAUAAUG